GGUAGUGGGCAGCAGGAGGUCACAGUGGCCAGAGGUCACAGCAGAGGGAGGUCAUGGGAGCAGGAAGUUAUGGCGCUGCUGCCAGCAUUUUCAGUGGGCUUCCCCAACUCAGGUAACUGAAUGUGACCAAGGGCUACGUCCUGCUUCAGCCACCCCAGCUUCUUUCCAGUGGGAUGUCUGCCUGAACCAAACCCUGAAAUAAACUCUUCUUCCCCUAAACUGCUUCUUGUCAGCAUUUGGUCACAGGGAACAGGGAAGUGACUAAUGGCAACAGUGGGCAGGGAAGGGAUCUGGGGCAGAGCUGGUGGCCUGAGGUUGGUCUGAGAGGCCCAGGCUACAAACAGUGGAAUCAUCAGAGGGCGGAGCCUGAGGCAGGGGUACCAGUAUACAUGUUUUUUUUUUUUUCCCAUACAGGGAUGUGUGUGGGCACAUGUACACCACGGCAAGCAUGUGAAGGGUCAAAGGACAGCCUUGGGUGUAGGGCUCAAUGGCUACCUUGUUCACUGUUAUGUACUCCAGGCUAGCUGGCCCAGGAUUCUUCUACCUUUGCCUUCUUUCUCACUGAGGGAGUGCUGGGGUUAUAGCGUGACUGUGGGUUUGAACUCAGGUCCUCAUCAUUGUGAGACAAAUAUGUGACCCUCUGACCAUCUCCCUAGCCCCACAGAUGGUUUCUUAUGGGGUGCUCUCAAGGACCCCUGUGACUGCCUCUUUCAAGCACUCGUUGACAACUUUUAACAGCUAGUGACUUCUACAGAGGACAGUUCUCCUGAGGAGAAGUCGCGGGUCUGCCAUAGCCAGCAUGCCCAGGGUUCUGAGGUUGUGUGAGGGACUGGGAAAUCCACUAUUGAGUCCCUAGCAUGUCAGGAACAUGUGAAGCCAUCAGGUGAUGUAGAGAUGUGCAUGAUGAAAGGCUGCCAUGGGGAGCUGAGGGCAGAACCCAGGGCUCUCUAGGACAUGGGGAAAAGCUUGAGGAGCUAGCCUUGGGCCACAGAGGGCCAGGAGGAUGGGGGUCCAGAAACCUGAGACAUCUUUAACUUGUGACUACUUGUUCAGUUGGGACCCUGUGUAGGAAGAAGCAGGCACAACAUUUGGGAGAUGAUGUCCCAUUAUGGACUGAACACAAUAAAUCUUCGUAUUAUGGGGAUUCAUUGAGGAAACCCACACAUGCAGGGGUAAUGGUAGCUCAGGUGGUAAAACACUUGCCUUGCUGGGAGCUUGAGUUCCAGCCCCCAGAACCCAUCUUGAAACACCAACAGCUGGCAAGAUAGCUCAGUGGGUAGAGGUGGCGGACACUAAGCCUGACAACCUGGGUUCAGUUCCCCAGACACUCGUGGUUCCAACGGACUGUUGCAGGUCACCCUCUGACCCUCAGCUGCCUCUCCCCUCCCUCAGAAAAAACCUGAGCAAUGGCUGCCGGCUGGAAACGAGCUGGAAGACCAGUCUAGCUUACUUGAUGACUGUCAGGCCAGUGAGAGACCCUGUCUCAAAAAAUAGGACCUGAGGAAUGACACUUGAUGCUGUUCUUUGAUAGAUACACACUCAAGACGCGCACGCGCGCGCGGAGGUUGGAAGUG
rnacentral:sRNA from 1 species